rnacentral:misc_RNA from 1 species
GAUUGGGGAUCUGGGAUAUGCCACAUGCCAAGUAUGAAAUCAAUGAGUUGGACACAUAUUCCUUGAACUUUGGGCCCCUUGAAAUUUGAGACCUGUACUGUACUGUUACACUGAGCUUCCUUCUGUUGGACAGUUGAUUAUCCUUCAACCUGUUUUGGUGCACUUAAUCUUAGUAAGAAAUAAAAUUUUGUAUAAUCAAUUAGUAUUUGCAUGAAUUUUGAUCCACUUCUCAACACUUUGCAAAAGGAUAUUUUCUUCAACAUUCUGUUUGGGAAUGCUUCUUGAUCAAAUUAAUAAUUGCAGUUUAGCAAAUACAUAGAAUGAUAACAGAUUAGUUGAACUUCAACCUGGUGCAAUUAUAUUUUGAUUUUGUCUGCUCUUAGGGUAUCA